rnacentral:rRNA from 1 species
GUGCCAGACUCCUACGGGAGGCAGCAGUGGGGGAUAUUGCACAAUGGGGGGAACCCUGAUGCAGCGACGCCGCGUGGGUGAAGAAGUAUUUCGGUAUGUAAAACCCUAUCGGCAGGGAAGAAUUUAGACGGUACCUGACUAAGAAGCCCCGGCUAACUACGUGCCAGCCGCCGCGGUAAUACGUAGGGGGCAAGCGUUAUCCGGAUUUAUUGGGUUUAAAGGGUGCGUAGGCGGAAUGCCAAGUCAGCGGUAAAAUCGGGGGGCUCAACCUCGCUCCGCCGUUGAAACUGGCGUUCUUGAGUGGGCGAGAAGUAUGCGGAAUGCGUGGUGUAGCGGUGAAAUGCAUAGAUAUCACGCAGAACUCCGAUUGCGAAGGCAGCAUACCGGCGCCCAACUGACGCUGAAGCACGAAAGCGUGGGUAUCGAACAGGAUUAGAUACCCCGGUAC